AUUCAGCAAAGGUCUGUGUGAGAGGACCGGGGAGAGGACACCCCCCUGGAGUGGAUGUGGACCCCCAGAGUCAGGGGAGGGCAGCUGGUGGCCCAGCGGCCAGGAUCAGGGCCCAGAGUCAUCGCAGGCCGACACCGGCUGGUGGGCAGGGGCAGGGAUCUGCACGGAGCUGUUAGAUCCCAGUUCUGGGCCAAAGGGAGGCCAGCUCCGGGUGAUCUGGCCUGGGGACAGACAGGCGGGGCUCAUCUUCAACAUGGGGGGAGACAGCAGGCGCGCAGUGAGAUGCACAGUGCCCAGCUCCCGCAGACGGACAGCUGGGGGACUGGUUUGAGCUGGCAGAGAAAGCCUGUCUCUGCUCUUCGGCCUGGGCGCGAGGGAUGGUGGGCUUGGUUUGCCAAGACCAAGGCUUUGGCCUUCUACUGUUCUCAGGGUGGGGACCCUGGGUAGCGGGACCUAAUCCCCAGGCCAGAAUGGGCAAGAGACAGCCAUGCCUGCAGCAGACAUGGGAGAGAGAAAAGGGCUGAGCCGUUUCAAACUGCCAAGUGUGGAAUGGAGACCCAGGCAUGCUGGGCCUUGAAGGAAGCAGAGCUGGGGGUCGUCCUGGAUUGUUUAAAAAAUAAUAAAAAUUAGAAAAGGAACUGAGAGUCAAUUGUCAAAGUUAAAAAAGGGGGACAGUCUCUGAUCCUCACGGGAGGGCAGAGAAACCUCCAAGGCACUCAAAAGACCAAGAUCCAGGGGCGACAAGGCAGGAGAGGACUCCCAGAGAGGACACAGGCGGACACAGGGGAGGGGAGAGAGAGCAGGGGGACCCCUGUCUCUUAAGGCUGCGGGGUUUCCACGCCGGGAGCAGGCCGGACGUCCAGUAGCCCCCGGGCUCCCCUGCGCUCUUGGGCUCCUGGGGCUCCGGCUGGUUGGUCAGCAAAGUCUUUCAGAGAUUUUUCUAUUACCGAAAGGAAAAAAAACAAACACAAAACAAAACACCAGAAAACCCCGAAGCGAUUCGGUGCAGACCCUUGAGCAUCUCUGGCACUGGCGCCUUAGAAAAUCCUCUUGCGCUUCAGGUAGGAAUCUGCGGAAUGGCC
rnacentral:lncRNA from 1 species